rnacentral:rRNA from 1 species
GAUGAACGCUAGCGGCAGGCUUAAUACAUGCAAGUCGUGGGGCAGCAUGAGUGUAGCAAUACAUUUGAUGGCGACCGGCAAACGGGUGCGGAACACGUACACAACCUUCCUUCAAGUGGGGAAUAGCCCAGGGAAACUUGGAUUAAUACCCCGUAAUAUUAUGGAGUGGCAUCACUUUAUAAUUAUAGCUCCGGCGCUUGAUGAUGGGUGUGCGCCUGAUUAGGUAGUUGGCGGGGUAACGGCCCACCAAGCCUUCGAUCAGUAACUGGUGUGAGAGCACGACCAGUCACACGGGCACUGAGACACGGGCCCGACUCCUACGGGAGGCAGCAGUAAGGAAUAUUGGUCAAUGGACGCAAGUCUGAACCAGCCAUGCCGCGUGAAGGAU